CUCUCUUUUAUUUUUUGCGGCCACUUUUAACGGCUUAAAGUAUUUGGCAUCAAAAACAAAGAUAAGUUUAAAAGUUUUUUAUUUACUUAUGUAAAUAUAAUACAUUGUGUGAAAUACGGUAAUAAGACUUUUUUGUAAAAACUGGCGCCACACUGAGACUUUGCCGGCACAUAAAAGUGCCGCUACUUAGAAAUUGAGGGGAUUGAGAGGGCAAAUAAAAUUGCAACUAUUUUUGGCAAUUAUUUUCUCGUAAGCUUUAAUAUUCAUCUCCAAAUAUCGUUUCUAUGAGCCUAGUGACAGUUAGAUAUAAAGAUGCCAAGGCUGAUCGUGGGACGUCUUGUGAACCCAUACGGGUACAUACCAUCACCCUGCCUAUUUCUGCCGCAAAGGCGAAUGCGUUGCGAUUUGAAGGGCGGGGUCACCGUUGUACUAUAGAACUGGGACUUAGAACUCAUAUCUCAAGUUAGGUAAGCAUGCAGGUGUGGCGAAACAUUUGGUGCCGUCACGCGCAUGUGCGACCGAAAAAAACUAGGAGGCAAGAAAAAGUAGGUAUUAAAAUAAACAUAUUUUUUUAAGCGUCCUAAAUAACCAUCCAGUAACCAUCAAACUCUCAGUACUAGAUUGUUCUACCAAAGCCUUUUUCGGCUUUGUCUUAAUUGAUCACUUUGACUUAUGGCGAAAUCGCUUACGCCUGUAUAAAAGAGUUAAAAGAAAAAUAUUAAUUUUAAUUACACAAGCAAUGAAACGUAGUACGUUGUAGUACGCCUAAGUAUUAUAAUGUAUGACACAGCGGAUAUCGUAUGAGAAUGGACCGGAACCGCUAGCGAUAAGUGUGGUAUAGCCGUGGGAACAUCCUGAUUGUGAUAUCAACGCAGGCGCUUAGAUUACGGUCGAGCACGAUAGACGCUCGUGCUUAAUUGAGGCAUCAAAUACUUCGUUCUAAAUAAAUUCUGAUCGUGCUCCCAUAGAUAAUACACAUAAUAUUAAAGAUGUGUACUGGCCAGUAUCGGUGAUGCGUGAUAACGCUGUGAAAAGAGUUUUGAAACUUAGGUUCGUUUUAAAAAAAUUAAAAUAAAUAGGUUAUUAGGUUCUACCUAUAGACAGAUCUAUAGAUAUCUAUAUUUAAAAAUUUUUAGGCGAUGUGACCGAUUUCUAUGAAAUUUUCAGAACAUCUCGAGAAUAAGAGAUAAAGUAUCAUCAUCAACGCACGAAUUAUUGGCACCCGUGCAGUUUCGAUAAGUGUGUAUAUUUUGUACAUUUAGUAACAAUCACUGAGACUGACGGAGACUGACUCAGUGGUGCAGUAGUUAGCACUCCUGACUGUUGCGCUGAAGGUCGUGGGUUCGGUUACCGCAUGGGGCAAACAUUCAUGUGAUGAACAGCGUUCGCGGCCUAUACUCGUCGAAAUCAGCUAUCUUCUUAAGGAAAUGACAUACCCACCUGGUGCAGGGAUGACUUGUGAAGGGUGGCCGUCAAGAAAUAAACGAGGAAAGCAGAAGAGCAGGAUCAGCGUCCUCGUCAGGAUCAGGAUCAUUAUCAUCAGCCCCCAGUAGUGGUGACGGUGUAUCCACUACGUGUUCCCGAAUGACUUUCACGGUGAUUGUAAAUUUCAGUAAUUCGAUACACUGCAUCUGAAUGGCCACAUUGGAUAGUUAUAGUACCGUUAGUUUUAUCAACUAUUUUGUUGUAUUUUUUUUAAAAUAAUUUUAUUAUUUUACCGUGGAUUUUUUCCGUGAUUAAAGAUUAACAGCAAUGAGCUAAACAA